rnacentral:tRNA from 2 species
GGUAAAAUGGCUGAGUUGAGGCAUUAGACUGUAAAUCUAAACACAGAGGCAUGGCGUCUCUUUUUACCA